rnacentral:rRNA from 1 species
CAAGCCUGAUCCAGCAAUGCCGCGUGCAGGAUGAAGGCCUUCGGGUUGUAAACUGCUUUUGUACGGAACGAAAAGCCUCUCUCUAAUACAGGGGGGUGAUGACGGUACCGUAAGAAUAAGCACCGGCUAACUACGUGCCAGCAGCCGCGGUAAUACGUAGGUGGCGAGCGUUGUCCGGAAUUACUGGGCGUAAAGGGUGUGCAGGCGGAUAUUUAAGUGAGAUGUGAAAGACCCGGGCUUAACCCGGGCAGUGCAUUUCAAACUGGAUAUCUAGAGUGCAGGAGAGGAGAACGGAAUUCCUAGUGUAGCGGUGAAAUGCGUAGAGAUUAGGAAGAACACCAGUGGCGAAGGCGGUUCUCUGGACUGUAACUGACGCUGAGGCACGAAAGCGUGGGUAGCAAACA